rnacentral:lncRNA from 1 species
GGAGACGCACUUCCUAAAGUUCAGUUUUACCAUAGGAGACGCACUUCCUAAGUUCAGUUUUACCUAGGAAACGCACUUCCUAAGUUCAGUUUUACCAUAGGAGACGCACUUCCUAAAGUUCAGUUUUACCAUAGGAGACGCACUUCCCAAGUUCAGUUCUACCAAUAGGAGACGCACUUCCUAAGUUUAUUGUACCCACAGGAGACGCACUUCCUAAGUUUAUUGUACCUAAUAGGAGACGCACUUCCGUAAAGUUUAGUUUUGCCCAUACGAGAUGCACUUCCUAAGUUUACUUUUAUCCCAUAGGAGACGCACUUCCUAAAUUAAGAUUUCACGCAUAGGAGACGCAUUUCCUAAAUUAUUUUCAUUCAUAGGAGACGCACUUCCUAGUUCAAAAUCAUUAAGGUUUCACCCAUAGGAGACGCACUUCCUAAGACUAUUUAACCCCUAGGAGACGCACUUCCUAAGUUUAAUUUCAUGCAUAGGAAACGCAUUUCCUGAAUUAAGUUUACUUUAAGAGACGCACUUCCUAGUUUGGCUUUUUCAGGUUAUACUUUUACUUUAGGAGAUGCACUUCUUAGUUUGGCUUUUUCAGGUUAUACUUUAUUUCAGGAGACGCACUUCCGGAAUUGAGAUUUCACCCUUAGGAGAUGCACUUCGUAGUUUGAUUCAUUUUGAGUUCGACCAUAAGAAACACAAUUCCCAGUC